UGGUAUUACGGAAGCGGUGGGAAUCUUGUAAGGAAGCGACUGUGGCAUUUUAGUAUCUCUGCUAGCCCAGCAGAGGCUGUAAGUGCGCGGAUGUCUCCGGUUCUGAAUGAAUUACAGUGCAGCGCUCUGCGCAACGUGCGCAUUUGUUAACUCACCUAACUCCCCUAAGCAGGGAGACCUUUUGACAGUCUCCCCGCCCCGCCCCGCUCCCUGGCACGCAGUGAGGACUACCGCGACGAGGCGGCACCCAGCCCCACGAGGGGGACAGCCGUGCCUCCCUUACCGUCUCAAUCCCCCAUGAGAGCUGCUCACCGGAAGCACGGCCGCAGUGGGGACCCGAAGGGCUCACAGGGAACAGGAUACGACGCCACCGCUUGGUCUCCGGCACCUGAACGCCGACCUGCAACGCUCCAGGCACACCGCCAAGGGCCAGGCGGGACGCACUCCGGCACCGAGGGACGCAUCCCGCCGCCGCGGCCCCAGCCAAACCCCACCUCGGCGAGUGGUUCUCGCGAGACGUGCUGAGGCGGCGUAGCGAGAGUGGCAGAGGACGCCGGCCCGCCCAGGCUCUGAGGCUGGCGUCGGGAGACCGGGCUUCGGGAGGGACGCCGCACCCUUGCCUUACAACACCACCGACCGGUGCGGAGGAGAGGCGAGGGGCACCGGGCAGAACGAGAAGGGCGGCCCAGUUUGCCAUGAACGUCCGUCCAUCGUCUGGCGCGGCCUAGGCCCGGCCCCGGUGAGCGGGACGGCACCACAUCCAUCGAUCGACCUCAAAGAUAGAGUCAUCUCCGGUGGAACUGAAGAUAAGAAAGAAGAUCAAAGGAAGAAGAGGACUUCAGGAAAAGCCAGUAAAGAGUGCUGAGAUCUCUGGACACUGAAGGACUGUUGAAAAUAAUCCCAGGUAACGUCUAGUGAACAUUAAGGGGCACCAGGUUAAGCCAGUCAUGACUUUUCCUAUUGAGUGGUCCAAUGAUUACUGGAGAAUUGAUGGCAGCUAAGCCUUCUUGGCUUCCAUGAUGCAGUUACACAUCUCUAGCUGAGAGAAGAAGUGGAUUUAGAGGAAAAGUCUUUCUGUAUCUCACAUGGUUAUUUUAAGGAUUAAAGCACUUAGGCCAGUGUCUGACAUUGGGCUCA